rnacentral:rRNA from 1 species
CACGUAGGGUGCGAGCGUUGUCCGGAUUUAUUGGGCGUAAAGGGCCCGUAGGCGGUUUGGUAAGUCGGGUGUGAAAACUCCGGGCUCAACUCGGAGAUGCCACCCGAUACUGCUAUGACUUGAGUCUGGUAGGGGAGUGCGGAAUUCCUGGUGUAGCGGUGAAAUGCGCAGAUAUCAGGAGGAACACCGGUGGCGAAGGCGGCACUCUGGGCCAGUACUGACGCUGAGGGGCGAAAGCGUGGGGAGCAAACAGG